CUGGCCCCCCCACAGCUGGUCCUGCAGCAGGCAUGCUGGACAGGUGUUUUCUCCCCAUGGUACCAUGAAAACCCAAGGUUUAGGAAAGGAGCCUGCCUUUCCCGGGUGGUACUUGGCUGCAGUGCUGACUGUAUUUUUUAAUCACAUCUCAUAAAGACACACAGGAAAGAGGACUUCCAGAAAGGCUUCUGAAAGAGGUUCUGGAGGACCGCAUGAAGCUGGAGUGCAAGUGUCAUGGGGUGUCAGGCUCGUGCACCACCAAGACGUGCUGGACCACGCUGCCCAAGUUCCGAGAGGUGGGCCACCUGCUGAAGGAGAAAUACAACGCAGCCGUGCAGGUGGAGGCGGUCCGGGCCAGCCGCCUGCGGCAGCCCACCUUCCCUACGCAUCAAGCAGCUGCGCAGCUACCAGAAGCCCAUGGAGACGGACCUGGUGUACAUCGAGAAGUCGCCCAACUACUGCGAGGAGGACGUGGCGACGGGCAGCGUGGGCACGCAGGGGCCGACUGUGCAACCGCACCUCGCUGAGGCGCGGAUGGCUGUGACGCCAUGUGCUGUGGCCGCGGCUACAACACGCACCAGUACACGAGGGUCUGGCAGUGCAACUGCAAGUUCCACUGGUGCUGCUAUGUCAAGUGCAGCACCUGCAGCGAGCGCACCGAAGUCUUCACCUGCAAGUGAGGGGCACCUCCCGGCAGCACCCUGCCCGAGAUCCACCCGGCGCCCAAGGUCGUGGGUCCUGGGGUCCCAGCGGGGAACCAACAGCGAACCUUGAGGUUGCAAGCGUGCCCCCAGACCACAGAGUUGCGACCAGACCCUGAGGGUCCCCUCCCUGCCCGGUGGCUGGACACAGAAAGGGCGUUCUAGUCUGUCACACUCGAAGCCCCAGGGCAGUGUGGACGUGGGAGACUGACAAUGUUAUUUAUGCCUCUCUUAGCAUCGGGAGAGGGCUCUCGGCACUAACAAAUGCGUAGCCAGUCCUAACUUCACACUCCGUGUCCACCCGGCCCCCUGAUCCCCCUCGCUGGCCUCCCCUGCCC
rnacentral:lncRNA from 1 species